rnacentral:rRNA from 1 species
GGGGAACGGGACGAGCUAUCCGGAUGAUCAAGGAAUCGCAUGAUUCCUUUGUAAAAGUGGGGAGCAAUCCUCAUACUACGAGAUGGGCCCGCGGCGCAUUAGCUAGUUGGUAAGGUAAUGGCUUACCAAGGCAACGAUGCGUAGCCGACCUGAGAGGGUGAUCGGCCACACUGGAACUAAGACACGGUCCAGACUCCUACGGGAGGCAGCAGUAGGGAAUCAUCCGCAAUGGGCGAAAGCCUGACGGUGCAACGCCGCGUGAACGAUGAAGGUCUUCGGAUUGUAAAGUUCUGUUAUGAGGGAAGAACAAGUGCCGUUCGAAUAGGUCGGCACCUUGACGGUACCUCACGAGAAAGCCCCGGCUAACUACGUGCCAGCAGCCGCGGUAAUACGUAGGGGGCAAGCGUUGUCCGGAAUUAUUGGGCGUAAAGCGCGCGCAGGCGGUCUCUUAAGUCUGAUGUGAAAUCUCGCGGGCUCAACCGCGAGCGGUCAUUGGAAACUGGGGGACUUGAGUGUAGGAGAGGAAAGUGGAAUUCCACGUGUAGCGGUGAAAUGCGUAGAUAUGUGGAGGAACACCAGUGGCGAAGGCGACUUUCUGGCCUACAACUGACGCUGAGGCGCGAAAGCGUGGGGAGCAAACAGGAUUAGAUACCCUGGUAGUCCACGCUGUAAACGAUGAGUGCUAGGUGUUAGGGGUUUCGAUACCCUUAGUGCCGCAGUUAACACAUUUAAGCACUCCGCCUGGGGGAGUACGGCCGCAAGGCUGAAACUCAAAGGAAUUGACGGGGGCCCGCACAAGCAGUGGAGCAUGUGGUUUAAUUCGAAGCAACGCGAAGAACCUUACCAGGUCUUGACAUCCUCUGACAACCCUAGAGAUAGGGCGUUUCCCUUCGGGGAACAGAGUGACAGGUGGUGCAUGGUUGUCGUCAGCUCGUGUCGUGAGAUGUUGGGUUAAGUCCCGCAACGAGCGCAACCCUUGAUCUUAGUUGCCAGCAUUAAGUUGGGCACUCUAAGGUGACUGCCGGUGAUAAACCGGAGGAAGGUGGGGAUGACGUCAAAUCAUCAUGCCCCUUAUGAGCCUGGGCUACGCAUCGUGCUACAAUGGAUG